UGCGGGAUGGCUGAAUAUUAGGCGAAAGAUUGUAGCUCUUUUUAUGGGGGUGAACCUCUCUCGCAA
rnacentral:tRNA from 1 species